rnacentral:rRNA from 1 species
GUGAUAUCAGGGCUUGCUCUGGUUGAUCAGUGGCGAACGGGUGAGUAACACGUGAGUAACCUGCCCCAGACUCUGGGAUAACUUCGGGAAAUCGGAGCUAAUACUGGAUAUGAGACGUCCUCGCAUGGGGAGCGUCUGGAAAGAUUUAUCGGUCUGGGAUGGACUCGCGGCCUAUCAGCUUGUUGGUGAGGUAAUGGCUCACCAAGGCGACGACGGGUAGCCGGCCUGAGAGGGCGACCGGCCACACUGGGACUGAGAUACGGCCCAGACUCCUACGGGAGGCAGCAGUGGGGAAUAUUGCACAAUGGGCGAAAGCCUGAUGCAGCGACGCCGCGUGAGGGAUGAAGGCCUUCGGGUUGUAAACCUCUUUCAGCAGGGAAGAAGCGAAAGUGACGGUACCUGCAGAAGAAGCGCCGGCUAACUACGUGCCAGCAGCCGCGGUAAUACGUAGGGCGCAAGCGUUGUCCGGAAUUAUUGGGCGUAAAGAGCUCGUAGGCGGUCUGUCGCGUCUGUUGUGAAAACUCGAGGCUCAACCUCGGGCUUGCAGUGGAUACGGGCAGACUAGAGUGCGGUAGGGGAGACUGGAAUUCCUGGUGUAGCGGUGGAAUGCGCAGAUAUCAGGAGGAACACCGAUGGCGAAGGCAGGUCUCUGGGCCGCAACUGACGCUGAGGAGCGAAAGCAUGGGGAGCGAACA